CCCUUAGAUGUUCUGGGCCGCACGCGCGCUACACUGAUCAGUGCAACAAGCAUCCGUCCUUGGCCGACAGGCCCGGGCAAUCUUUGAACGCUGAUCGUGAUGGGGAUAGACUUUUGCAAUUUUUGGUCUUCAACGAGGAAUUCCUAGUAAACGCAAGUCAUCAACUUGCAUUGAUUACGUCCCUGCCCUUUGUACACACCGCCCGUCGCACCUACCGAUUGAAUGGUCCGGUGAAGCCUCCGGAUUGGUGUGCACCCUCGGGUGCUGCCGAGAAGUUGGCUAAACCUUACCAUUUAGAGGAAGGUGAAGUCGUAACA
rnacentral:rRNA from 1 species